rnacentral:rRNA from 1 species
GGUGAACGCUGGCGGCGUGCUUAACACAUGCAAGUCUAACGAUGAAGCCCAGCUUGCUGGGUGGAUUAGUGGCGAACGGGUGAGUAACACGUGAGUAACCUGCCCUUAACUCUGGGAUAAGCCUGGGAAACUGGGUCUAAUACCGGAUAGGAGCGCCUACCGCAUGGUGGGUGUUGGAAAGAUUUAUCGGUUUUGGAUGGACUCGCGGCCUAUCAGCUUGUUGGUGAGGUAAUGGCUCACCAAGGCGACGACGGGUAGCCGGCCUGAGAGGGUGACCGGCCACACUGGGACUGAGACACGGCCCAGACUCCUACGGGAGGCAGCAGUGGGGAAUAUUGCACAAUGGGCGAAAGCCUGAUGCAGCGACGCCGCGUGAGGGAUGACGGCCUUCGGGUUGUAAACCUCUUUCAGUAGGGAAGAAGCGAAAGUGACGGUACCUGCAGAAGAAGCACCGGCUAACUACGUG